UACAGAGGUCUCAAGCGUUUGUUCGGAUUCAUUGGGCGUAAAGGGUGCGUAGGCGGCGCGGUAAGUCGGGUGUGAAAUCUCGGAGCUUAACUCCGAAACUGCAUUCGAUACUGCCGUGCUUGAGGACUGGAGAGGAGACUGGAAUUUACGGUGUAGCGGUGAAAUGCGUAGAUAUCGUAAGGAAGACCAGUGGCGAAGGCGGGUCUCUGGACAGAUCCUGACGCUGAGGCACGAAGGUCAGGGGGAGCAAACGGGG
rnacentral:rRNA from 1 species